AGUUAAGUGAACAAGGGCAUACGGCGGAUGCCUUGGCGCCAAGAGCCGAUGAAGGACGCGGUAAGCUGCGAAAAGGCAUGGGUAGGAGCAAGCAUCCAGUGAUCCAUGCA
rnacentral:rRNA from 1 species